CUUCCGUUCCAUUGAUAAUUGGAUUACGAAAUUCCUUCGUUAUCAGUCCUACAUUUUGUUUGAGUGAUCUCUUUCAUCUGUCGUCCGCAUCUGACAAAGUGUUUUUGUUCUCCUUCGACAUGUCUUGGAGGUGUUGUGUUUCUGGUUGUGGUUCCGAAGGAGUACCUUUAUUUCGUAUUCUAAAAUUUAAUGAAAGUUUAAAAACUGCUUUGCAAGAAAAAAAAAAGGAACGAAGAAUUGUUUGGCUUCAAAAGCUUAA